rnacentral:rRNA from 1 species
UACGGAGGAUGCAAGCGUUAUCCGGAAUGAUUGGGCGUAAAGCGUCCGCAGGUGGCAAUGUAAGUCUGCUGUCAAAGCGUCUGGCUCAACCAGAUAAAGGCAGUGGAAACUACAUAGCUAGAGUAAGGUAGGGGUAGAGGGAAUUCCUGGUGUAGCGGUGAAAUGCGUAGAGAUCAGGAAGAACACCGGUGGCGAAAGCGCGUGACUGGACCAAAACUGACACUCAUGGACGAAAGCUAGGGGAGCGAAAGGG